GAAAGGGAGGGAGUAAUCCCCUUUGCUCUGGGAUGAGCCUGCGUCUCAUUAGCUAGUUGGUGGGGUAACGGCCCACCAAGGCAUUGAUGGGUAGCUGGUCUGAGAGGAUGAUCAGCCACACUGGAACUGAAACACGGUCCAGACUCCUACGGGAGGCAGCAGUGGGGAAUCUUGCGCAAUGGACGAAAGUCUGACGCAGCCACGCCGCGUGAGUGAAGAAGGCCUUCGGGUUGUAAAGCUCUGUCGGGCGGGACGAACGUCCUUAAGGUGAAUAGCCUUAGGGAGUGACGGUACCGCCAAAGGAAGCACCGGCUAACUUCGUGCCAGCAGCCGCGGUAA
rnacentral:rRNA from 1 species